CAAACAGUAAUUCAAAGGGGUUAUUAAGGAAAAACUAGCAAAUUUAUAAAAAAGGAGGGCACAAGUCCAAAAGCCACAAUUUACCGAAAGGUGAUCAAGUUUCAUUAGAUUUAUUUAAUGUUGACAAAGAAUGUAGGCGAUCCUAAGGGAAACCUUUAUAUUUAAACUUCCCGAAGUAAAACAUUUCAUUAGGGAAAGGAAAGGAAAUCAACCGAGACUCCGAAAGUAAUGGCGAGUGAAAUCGGACUAGCCUUUAUUUAAAAAUAAAUUUAACAAAAAUACACACCAGAAACCAAAGAAGGUAAAACAGUCCUGUAUGUUAAAUCUUUUUAAAACUAAUGUUUAAAUAAGUAUUAUUAAAUUAAAAUUUAUUUAAAUAAUGAGUACGACGAGAGCGAACUUGUCGGAAUAUAGGGGAACCAUCCUCUAAGGCUAAGUAUUUAUAAAUUUAGCGAUAGUGAAAAGUACCGUGAGGGAAAGUUUGAAAUAGUUAUGUAAUUUUAGACAUAAAUGAAAUAGUUGAAUUAGUAACUCUAUAAGCAGUCGAAAUUUAUAAUUAUAAAUGACGGCGUACCUUUUGCAUAAUGGGUCAGCAAGUUAAUAGGAGUAGCAAGGUUAAAAGCCUUAGUGAAAGCGACCACACUAACUAGCUAAAAGUAUUCUUAAUUUCAUAGAUAUUAAGAAUAGGAUAUCCUUCAUAGUCAUAAGGCUAAGAAGUUAAAUAUUUUCUAGGAAUAUAGUGAUGGGUAAGUUACUUCUAUUAGACCCGAAGCUAGGUGAUCUUCCUAAGACCAGAUUAUAAUGGAUCGAACGGGUGAAUGUAGCAAAAUUCUCCGAAGAGUUUUAGGAAGCGGUGAAAUGCCAAUCUGACCUAGUGAUAGCUGGUUUUCUACGAAACAUAUGUAAGUAUGACAUCUAAACAAAAUUUAUGGUGGUACAGCACUGAGUUCCCAACUAUUUCUUUUUUUUAAAGAAAAGUUUAGGUUGCGGGGACGUCGAAAAUCUUACCAAUGGAAGAGAAUCUCGGAAUGACAUAAAUUGAUGAUAGAUAUUCAGACUGCUCAUGCGAAGUUGGGUAGUCAAGACGGAAACAGCCGAGAACACGAAACAAGGUCCCAAAUGAUUUUUAAGUGAAAUGAAGGAAGUAAUAUAUUGAAUGCAGCUGUAAAGUGAGCCUGGUAGUCGCUAUCUUUUAAUAAACGUAAUGUAACAACGUAGCAGCCUUAAACAAUAGAAUAUUACACCAAAAAUUUAACGGGUCUCAAAAAAUCAACCGAUAUCGUGUUUAUUUUGAAUAAUAAAAAUUAAUAUUCAAUAUACAGGUAGUAGAACAUUCAGUAUACUGAUGAUAAAACAGUGUUUCAUUGUUUUUAGGUCACUGAAGAGAGAAUGCUGACAUGAGUAACGUAAAAAGAAGUUAUAAUACUUCUCGCCGAAUACGAAAGGGUUGUAAGGAAAGGUUAAACCACCUUAUGUUAAUGCGGCCUCUAAGGAACAAAACCAAAGUUUUGUCUGAUGAGUAUGAAUUAGAAAGUCCAUUUUUAAAAAUAAAAAUUUAAUAAAGGGACCAGGAAAAGAAUAUAUUCUUAACUACCGUACCCUAAACCGACACAGGUUCGUAAGUAGAGUAUACUAAGGCGUAGAGCUAAAAGUUGUUAAGGAACUCGGCAAGUUCUCCUCAUAAGUUUGACGAUAAGAGGAACCCGAUAAGGGUGGCACAAAAUCGGAGGCCCCGACUGUUUACUAAAAACACAAUUCAGAGCAAUGAUGAAAAAUCAUAGUAUUCUGGAUGAAAUUUGCCCAAUGCCAUUAACAUAAAAGAGGUUAUGGGUAACUGUAACUGAUUGAAAGUCUGGUUAAUAGCGGUCUUAACUAUGAGGAUCCAAAGGUAGCAAAAUAAAUUGGCCAUUAAAUGUGGUCUGGUAUCAAUAGUGUAACGAUGGUCUCACUGUCUCUACAACUUGCUCAGUGAAAUUGAAUUACCCGUGCAGAUGCGGGUUGCCUCCAGGUGGACGGGAAGACCCUAUGCAGCUUUACUGUAGUUAGCUAUCAUAUUGAUCUACAACAACCUUAGUUAAUAGUAAUUAGGGAUGUCGAAUUGACGAAAGAUGGAAUACCUUCUGACUUUGGUUGGGUUAAUAUUUACCUUUUUAAGUAAAAUAUUAUAUAUGACUCAAAAUUUUCUUUUGUUUAUUCUAUUCAUAUUCUGUUAUAUAGUGUAAUAUGGUAUAAAGCUUAUAAGGGAUAGGUGGCUAAUUGGCAGUUUGACUGGGGCGGUCGUCUUUGAUAAAGUAGCAAAGUACAUCCAAAGAUAUUUAUUUAUUAGAAACAAUCUUUUUUUAAAAAGAUACUUACUAAAAAUUCAUAGUAUCUAUAUAAACUAUGAAGAAUAUAAUUUAUUAUAUUUUUAUUAACUUAAGGUAUAGCUAGAAAAUUGAAUGGAAAUCAAUCAACCAGUGUGAAAGGUUGUAAUAGGCGUAAUGGCGGAAAGCAUGCCUAACUGAAAGACUUAGAAGUCGAACAGAUACGUAAGUAGGGCAUAGUGACCCUUCGCUAUAUUAUGGAAUAGACGGGGAUCAAUCGAUAAAAGUUACGCUAGGGAUAACAGGCUGAUAGCUGGUGAGAGUACACAUUGUCCCGGCUGUUUGGCACCUUGGAUAUAUUAUAUUAAAUUUAUAAAUACCACAUAAAAUUAUCAGUAUCUCAUUAUUUUGUUUGCUUCGUGCAAUAGAUAGUUCUUAAAAUUAUAAGAGCCCAAUUAUUUUAAUAAUUAAUCUAAAAUGAAUAAACCUGUAAUUUAAAUGUUAGUAGGAAAUCUUCUAGGAGAUGCCUCUAUCAAAAAAACAGUAUCUGGUAAAGCUUAUAUAACAUUUGAACAGUCUAUAAAAAAAUCUGAUUAUUUAAAUCACUUGUAUGAGCUAGUAAAAAGUAGUGGUAUACCUUUAAAAAAAGAAUCUCCUACUGUUUACUCUAGAGACGAUGAUAGAUUUGGAACUACAAAUAAAUCAUUAUAUUUUAGAACUGAGGCAGUAGAAGAAUUAAAACCUUUAGCCGAUUUAUUCUUGGAUGAAUCUGGGAAAAAAAUAAUACCUAGAAAUAUUUCUGAGUAUUUAACAGAAAAAGGCUUAGCUCAUUGGAUCAUGGAUGAUGGCCAAAGAGUAAAAAAGAGGAGGUGUAACUUUAUGUACCGAUAGUUUUAACUCGGAAGAAGUAAGCAUACUUAGAGAUGCUUUAAAAAUUAAUUUUAAUUUUAAUACUUCUAUUCAUAAUAAAACAUCUAGCAAUGGAUCGGUUUAUGAAAGAAUAUAUAUAAAGAAAGAAUCUUUAGAUUCAAUUAUACCAACAUUGAAUACGCAUAUGCAUGAUUCAAUGCUUUAUAAAAUAAACUUAGAUAGAGUUUUUAGACAAGAUACUGAAGGCUUUAUAAGUGAUUCAGAUGUCAUAACUGAUAUAAAUAUGUUUGACGUUUAAAUUUAUAAUCUUAAUAAGCAAAUAUACAUCGGGGACUAUAAAUAGAAAUGUUUAUAUAAAAAUUGGCUAUAUGCUGGAACCCCCUAAAGCUUUAAGUACUCAUUUAUUUUUAUAAAUUGUAAUAAUCUUAAAGAUUGGGCAAUCAGCAGGGAAGUUACCUUUUUAGGUUAUAGCAACUGUAAAAUUUGUAACCCCUCAACGACUACACGCCAACACCCAGAGCUAACAUAAAGGUAUUCUUAUGCUGGGUGAAGAUAUAGUCUAAUCUUAACCGAAAGAUUAAGCCCAUCCUCAUAUGAGGUGGGAGUAUAUAUUUUAUAUACUAAUAUUGCGAUGUCGACUCAACCUAUCCUCCGGGGGUAGAAGCUUGGAAGGGUUCGGCUGUUCGCCGAUUAAAAGGUUACGCGAGUUGGGUUUAAUACGACGUGAGUCAGUAUGGUCCCUAUCUUCUGGAGGGAUAAAUAGUAAAAAGGGGCAGACCUUCUAGUACGAAAGGAUCAAUAGGCUGUGUUUCUCUAGUGUACCAAUUGUAAUUCUCUAUUCUAAAAAUUUUUAAAGGAUUAAAGAAAGAUUAAAGCAUAGUUGGGUAGCCACAAACAUGAUAGAUAAGCGCUGAAUGAAUAUUAAGCAGGAAGCUAUCCCCUAGAUACUAUCUUAUUGAUUAUCUUUUUAAUUGAUAUUUUAUUAGUUUUCUUUUUAAUCAAUGUGAAUAAGAAAUAGAACAUUUCUAAAUAGGAUGCAAAUGAAAGUGCUGUAA
rnacentral:rRNA from 1 species